ACGAACGCUGGCGGCGUGCCUAAUACAUGCAGGUAGAACGCUGAAGGAGGAGCUUGCUCUUCUGGAUGAGUUGCGAACGGGUGAGUAACGCGUAGGUAACCUGCCUGGUAGCGGGGGAUAACUAUUGGAAACGAUAGCUAAUACCGCAUAACAGUAGAUGUUGCAUGACAUUUGCUUGAAAGGUGCAAUUGCACCACUACCAGAUGGACCUGCGUUGUAUUAGCUAGUUGGUGGGGUAACGGCUCACCAAGGCGACGAUACAUAGCCGACCUGAGAGGGUGAUCGGCCACACUGGGACUGAGACACGGCCCAGACUCCUACGGGAGGCAGCAGUAGGGAAUCUUCGGCAAUGGACGGAAGUCUGACCGAGCAACGCCGCGUGAGUGAAGAAGGUUUUCGGAUCGUAAAGCUCUGUUGUAAGGGAAGAACGAGUGUGAGAGUGGAAAGUUCACACUGUGACGGUAUCUUACCAGAAAGGGACGGCUAACUACGUG
rnacentral:rRNA from 1 species